rnacentral:misc_RNA from 1 species
GGAAGUCUGAUGGCAUCUCGAAGGUAUGGUCCACUUCCUUAGAAUAAGUAAAGAGUGCGUGUUUGGGGGGAAGUUUGUGAGCAAAUUUAGAAGAUAACGAUGAUUUGCAGAUUUCUGACGCAUCCCAUUUGUAUCCACGUCAUGAUACAAUUAGUUAUUAAGUAUUGUUCAUUUUGGAACUGGUUCUGUUCUCACUUGGCAUACUCUUUCCAGGAGGGAAGAUGCUUCAUCUGGGCAUCUAUGCAUAAUUGUUUUCAGCACAUAUAGUGACAGAUAAGGAUUGUCUUUCCAUCAUUACUUCGUCAGGCUUUAUACCUGUUUGACAUGCAUUAACUGGGAUAAAUGAUGCGAUUUGACAUACUAUCUUGGUCUUUUAAAAUUUUGGUUGUCCACAACCUUCUAGUUAUUAAGAGGAUGCCUAGUCUGUUAUGCUUGAUGCUUGUUAAAAUUGAGUUUAUGUCAAAUUGAUUAUUUUGUUAUCAUUCCAUUCUAUGUUACUGUUCUAUUUUACUUAUGGUUAGAAUUUAUCAAUGAAGUUUUGUUGGUUUUGACUUACCUGUGACUUUUAGAAGAUUUCCACUCUGCACUUUUAGAAGACUUCUACAUUAGUCGUGCUGCAUGGACUUUAAGGAUUAAGCCACUUAUAAGAAACUCAUUGUUAUACCACUUAACUGUUCCAAAUCACCUUUUUUUUUUCAUCUUUUUACUAGAGGUUUGACAGUGUGUUAUUUCUUGUAUGAUAUUUUGUAGAUUGAUAGGGAUUUAACUGUUUCUAUUCAAAAAAAAGAAAGGGAUUUAAUUUUUCUUUCUUUCUUUAUUUAUUUUUGUGUAGCAAAUGGGAAUGCAAAAUUGCUCAUUGUCUCUGUCCUUUUCAAGGAUAUUUUCUGUAGCGGGGAGCUGAUUUUGUUAUUUUUCUCCUGAUGUGCUAACUGAAUUAUUAAUUACUAUUUUCCAUAGCAGGGAUCAUAUCAAGUGGCCAAAU